rnacentral:ncRNA from 1 species
UUUAACGAGAGUUUGAUCCUGGCUCAGGAUGAACGCUGGCGGCGUGCCUAACACAUGCAAGUCGAGCGAAGCACUCUGCUUUGAUUC